AAUAAUCUAGGCCUGCCCUACACGGAGCAAGCGAGCGUCAGGCCUUCCCGAGGGAUUCCCAGAAGCAUGACCCGGUUCUGGUCGCGGUCCACCGAGGAUUGGAGCGGCAGUGACACGGGCGGCCCUGCAGCGGCAGAACCAAGGUCAGGCCCCAAGGGAUAGCGGGGCAGCAGCCUGCAGCGCAGACGCAGGACACCGGCGUCCAUCCUUGCUCUCCUCCCCAAGAGUCCAGGCUUUCCCGGCCUGGUGCUCCAGCUUUGCUUUCGUUUCCCAGGCAAACGACUUUGACCUCAAAUUCACGUUUUCACCCAAGAAUGCAAUCCAGAAUCCUUGUCCCCCUAUUCGAGUAGGGUGACCAGGAAGGCCGAGAAACCCAGACCGAGGGUGCUCCGCGAGUGGGCAGAGUUCCUUUCACUUUCCCCCUUUGCUCGGCAAUUUCGGGUGCCAACUACCUGGGCCCAGCCCAGCUUCAGAGACUGGCCCCGUGCUCUGGAGAAAGCAACCACCCCGUGGGGAAAACACUACAGCCUCAGAAUGGAUCUCAGCGUCUCGUCCGCUUCACCCUCAUUCUCUGUGCCGGGAAAUUCUCGAGAGGGCAGCAACACACCUCGCACCUCCCUUCUUUCCAAGAGUUGCGCUUCCCCAAACCCGCUCCCCGCUGGUUU
rnacentral:lncRNA from 1 species